AGAGUUUGAUCCUGGCUCAGAACGAACGCUGGCGGCAUGCCUAACACAUGCAAGUCGAACGGGAUCCAUCUUUCGGGAUGGUGAGAGUGGCGGACGGGUGAGUAACGCGUGGGAACCUGCCCAGUGGUGGGGGAUAACUGCGGGAAACUGCAGCUAAUACCGCAUGAGCCCGAGAGGGGAAAGAUUUAUCGCCAUUGGAGGGGCCCGCGUUCGAUUAGGUAGUUGGUGAGGUAACGGCUCACCAAGCCGACGAUCGAUAGCUGGUCUGAGAGGAUGAUCAGCCACACUGGGACUGAGAUACGGCCCAGACUCCUACGGGAGGCAGCAGUGGGGAAUAUUGGACAAUGGGGGCAACCCUGAUCCAGCAAUGCCGCGUGAGUGAUGAAGGCCUUCGGGUUGUAAAGCUCUUUUGCCAGGGACGAUGAUGACGGUACCUGGAGAAUAAGCCCCGGCUAACUUCGUGCCAGCAGCCGCGGUAAUACGAAGGGGGCAAGCGUUGUUCGGAAUUACUGGGCGUAAAGGGCGCGUAGGCGGCCGAUCAAGUCAGGCGUGAAAUUCCCGGGCUCAACCUGGGGGCUGCGCUUGAUACUGAUUGGCUUGAAUGCGGGAGAGGAUAGUGGAAUUCCCAGUGUAGAGGUGAAAUUCGUAGAUAUUGGGAAGAACACCAGUGGCGAAGGCGGCUAUCUGGCCCGUUAUUGACGCUGAGGCGCGAAAGCGUGGGGAGCAAACAGGAUUAGAUACCCUGGUAGUCG
rnacentral:rRNA from 1 species